GAUGAAGAACGUAGCGAAAUGCGAUAAGUAGUGUGAAUUGCAGAAUUCAGUGAAUCAUCGAAUCUUUGAACGCACAUUGCGCCCCUUGGUAUCCCGAGGGGCAUGCCUGUUCGAGCGUCAUUUCACCACUCAAGCCUGGCUUGGUGUUGGGCGACGUCCUCUUUGGGGACGCGCCUCGAAACGCUCGGCGGCGUGGCACCGUCUUUAAGCGUAGCAGAAUCUUUCGCUUUGGAAGUCGGGGCCCCGUCUGCCGGAAGACCUGCUCGCAAGGUUGACCUCGGAUCAGGCAGGGAUACCCGCUGAACUUAAGCAUAUCAAUAAGCGGAGGA
rnacentral:misc_RNA from 1 species